rnacentral:rRNA from 1 species
GCGACCCCAGGAUGGGCGAGGUCACCCGCU